rnacentral:miRNA from 15 species
GUGGUUCUCUCAUUGCCAAGCC